CCUCUCUUCUCUGUGGAGCCACCAUGUGAUUCCAGCAAGAGAAGAUGCCUGCUGCUGGUGUCCGAUAAGAUAAGUUUUUAUAAAAUAUAUAGAUUGGUAGUUAUGGAUGAUAAUUAAGACUGAGCUAGCAAGUAAGAAAUCCUAGUCAUUGGCGAGCAGCAUUGUACCUAAUAUAAGUCUCUGUGUGUUAUUUUGGCCACCCACGUGGCGGUGGGGCUCGGGCGGCUUGGCAGAAAUAUUUAUCCUUACACCCUUCCAUAUAUCCCUCUUUGUCCUCUUUUAAGUGUAUGGCCUUUGCUUUCAUUAAUUGUUGGUGUGUGUGUGUGUGUGUGUGUGUGUGUGUGUGUGUGUGUUAUAUUUGUCAAUAUAUUCCUGAUGAACAGUGUCUAUGAAGGAAUGCUCUUUCAGGAGCCCAGAUUAUCCCUAUUUUUCUUCACAUCAGCAUGAACUAACACAUCAAAGAAAAGUAUGAAAAUUUAACACCACUAUCUUAAACCAGGGUAGCAUUGGAGACUAAGAAGGUAAGGUGUUUUGCCGAGUAAUCUUGCUCAUAAAGGAAAUGUAUUCUUAUUAUUAUUUCAUAGAUUUGUUACUCCUGCCAGGAAAGAAAAAGAAAAAAAACAUAAACUUUGUAAACUUUGGAACCACAAGGACCUGAGCUCAAGCCCUAGCUUCUCUUCUUGCCCCAUGAACAUCACAAUCAUGACAAUGUGUUUCAUCAUUGACACCCAAUGUAGAAAAUCGUCAACCAAACUCUCUGGAACACUGUAGAUCCUCUGAAUAUUGAUUCUGUCCUCCAGAUUGUACUCCUAACUCUAUGCCAGUUUUCAGAAGUUUAAGAGACAGUGACACACUGCAUUGUCAGCCGAGUCCCUCACAAUGGAAGAAUUCUAUACCUCAGUCCAUACCAAAGCUGCAGCCCAGUUUGGUUUAUCUUCAGGUGAGAAACUAUCUGAUGAUAGAAGGCACAAAUGUGAGCAAGCCUGUGCUGAGUGCAGAGGCUAUUACCAAGCUCUCUAUCCAGUAGCCAUGCUAAGAAUGGCUGUACUGUUUGGGCAUACUCUUGAAGGGAACCUCACUUUGGGUUAUAAGACUUCCUUACAACUCAGCAAUCAGGAGGCAGAGGCAAGCUGAUCUUUGAGUUUGAGACCAGCCUGAUCUAUAGAGCAAGUUCCAGAACAUUCAGGGCUACACACAGAAACCGACUUGAAAAUCAAAAAUAAAUAAAUAAACAAACAAAUUCUUACAGCUUCGGCAAAUGUCUCCUCUUCAUCUGAUUAUGAACAAUUUGGAAUGGCUUUGAACAUUCUAGCAAGAUAUAUUAAUUAGGAUAAGUCUCAGUGACAUAACAAAAAGGCCCCCCAAAACCAGAAUCUUACAAUCAAACAGAAAUGAUUUCUUUUUCAUUUCAAUAUAUGAAGAGUUGACAGGACAGUGAUGUGGCCCUCAAAAGACGACUCCCAUCCUAGGAUUAUGCAAAGUCCAUCCAGUAAGCAGGGCAGAAAGCUAGGAAGGACAGGUAUACAACCCAUAAUAUCACAAAUGCUUUAAGUUAAAACCCAAUAGCCAAAUUUAGUCACACUGCCAUAUUAGUUACAAGGGAGACCAGAGAUGAACUGUUAUCCUGGAAAGCCAGCCAGUCUAGCAAGAGCUCAGAGAGUGAUAAGAGUAGAAAUAUGGGGGACACUAGCAAUGUUUGUGUCACAAAACCGAAGUGGGAGCAAUCUCAAUGCAUAAUGCAGAAUCCAAAACUUGGUGUAGCAUUUAUACAUAUUACACAGCAGUAAAGACCCCAGCAGCAUAAACCAAGGCAGUAGUACAAACCUUGUUUGUGUGACAGAACCUGAGUCACUGAGUGGUACUGGGGCCAAGCUACAUCUGGGAAGACCUUAAUAUGCUGACCCAGAAAAGUUGGAGCAGAGCUAUGUUGGAACACAGACAGCACUUAGCAUCAAUCUUUUAAAAAUUCAAAAGUCAUAGGGAGGGCACCCUGAACAAGCCUGAACUAGCCGGAAGAAAGCCAAAAGAAGAAAGAAAGCCACUCUGAUUCAGGGUUCAUGCUUGUGAAAUACCAGGUCACAUGAAGUGACAACACCCCGUUUGACUGUGAGAAACUCUUUCUAGGGCCAAAGAAUAGCAAUUCUUAUUGACUGUCAAGAUUGACUUGCCAUUUUGUAAAGUCUUAUGGAGAUCUUUACCAACCUAUUGGAGAGAAUUAGUUUGUUACUUUUGUUUCCUUGUCUCGGCUUCAAAUUCAGUCCACUCCUUCAGGAAACCAAACAUUUAUUCAUGAAGCACUCACUCGUUCAUUAAUUUGGUUGUUCUAAUCUCAUUGUUUUCAUUAAUAGUUGUUUCUCUUCUCUACUGUAUGUAUACCUAAAGGGAACUUCUACACCACAAAGCAAAGAAAGUUUCACCCAUUUUCUCUCCCAAAACAAGAGACUACACAAGAAUUUCUAGUUCCUACAGGAACAAGGGGGAGGUGGGGGGAGACCAAAACACAGACCCACCAAGGAUGAGUCUCAAUCACUUGUUUAAAAUCAAUAUAAAUGAAAGUAUUCCCCCCUUGAACAACUCUACAGGAUAACUUAUAACAAUUGGCAAUGCAACUGCCAAAUGUGAAAAUUCUUGGGAAGGGGAAAAAUCUUUAUUUUCUGAUGCAACAAACACACACAGAGAUUCAUAUGCAGACACACACACAUACUCACUCAGACACAAACACACACACACACACACACACACACACACACACACACACACACACACAGCGCCAAAAUUUUCAACCCUGUUUCCAGAUAUGCCUGUUCUUUGCUACAUGGAUGUGGGUAAACCCUGUAUCUUUGAAUUUCAGUCUUCUCGUUUGUAAACAACAAUAACUACAAAGACAAUAUUUCUAUUAACAAAGUCUUCCUCCUGUUAAGCAUCAAAAUUGUAAUUGCAAUGUCAUGAUGGCACAGAAUCAUACUUGAAAGGUUUCCUGCUUCACACCCAAAUUCAGUAAAUGACAUUUCCCCCAACAGUUCAAGAAGACUUCAGAUUCUGAAGAUCCCUUGCAAAAUUAAAUUUUAUAAAGGGUAUGAAUGCAGCCUCAGGCCUAAGUUCUAUUCCAUGGGAAUGGGGUGCAGAAGGGACAAGGGCAAAACUGUUCUAAGGAACUCUCCAUUUUUACCUUCACCUUCUUUCCACAUGCAUGUGUCACUUUAUUGGUGCUGGUCCCUGCAAGGUGACUUUAUGAUUCAUAUCCUGCUGGCAAUAAAAUGUUCAUAGCAGAUGAUCUCCUCAUUAAUGUUAGCUUCAAAGGGAUAGAGCUAAUUAUGGCAUUGGUUUUGAUUACACUUAUGCUAACUUAGAUUUGCUCUAGGACAAUAUUGUGCUGAACAGGAGGGCUGUAACAGCCUCUUCCAUGUGGACACCAGGUAUAUCACCAAAGUACAGCCUCAGUAACUCCACCAGACAGGUGGCUCUGCUGUCCAAAUUCACUCCACCAAGGCUUUGCAUGGCCUGGAGAGAUUCCUAGUGGGUCAGUCCUGGACCUCUUAGUGAAAGAAGGAAAUAUCAGAUCCCAUUCCCAACAAUCCCAAGAGAUCCCCCUCUAGAUAGGUAUGGUUUCAAGGGUGGACAGAAAACCUGAAGAGAAAUUUUGCCUUCUUAUCCCCUUGUUCUGAGGGUAAUGGGUUUUAGAUGAAUCAUAUAUACCCUCUUUGUGGGUGAAUACACCCACAUCUACCCUGGGCACCUAGACAAGGCUCCCUCUCCUAAAGUAGUCUAUCUUGCUUAAAGGAAAGUCUGUUUUGUUAGUCUUGAAAUGGUUAUAACAUUUAAAAAUCCAUAACACCAAAAAAAAUUAAAAAGAAAAAAAUUCAUAACACCAAAAGCCUAAAACCAGUAUCAAUUGCUGGUUCAUAUCCAACUAUAUCAGUUAUAUAACACCAUUUCCAUCUCAAAAAAAUGAAGAUAAUCAUUUAGCUCAUUUCUUGCCAAAAUUAAAGUUUCAUUUUCUGCUUUAAAAGUACAAGGUACGAUAUAGUUAGUUUAUAAGCAUUGUGUUAUCCUUCUUUAGUCCUAUACCAUCAAAAGCCUUGGUUUUCCCACAGAUCAUUAUAAAAUGAAGAACUGAUCCCUACUGAUAAAAUAAAAAAUCAUCUCUGGAGUAUGUGUGUAGGGGUGUGUGUAUUCCUUUGGGGUAAAGUCAUUUGUUUUUACAGAAACAAAAGUCCUCUAUUUGAAGACAUUAUCAAUUUAAUGAAUGCAAGUCAUCCAUUACUUACUGAGGACCAAGAAUCAUUCAAGGACAGCCUGACUACAUGGUGAAUUAUAGGCUAGCCUAGGCUAGGUACAGUGCACAACUUUAAUCCCAGCACCUGAAGCAAAGACAGGUGGGUCUCUUUAGGUCUGAGGCCAGUCUGGCCUUCAUAAUGAGUUGUAGGCCAGUCAGAGCUACACAGUGAUACCUUUCAAAAAAAAAAAAAAAAGGAGGGAAGGAAGGAAGAAAGGCAGACUACAUGACCUUAUAUAAGUCACUUCAUCUUGCCAUCUUUAGGUCCUUCUGUAGUGGUACUGUAAGUUCCAUUUUCAGAAUUCUUGUGAAGGCUAACCAGGAAAAUGUUCAUGAAGGUCUCAGCAUAGCAUACCCCAUUCUACACUUGAAACAAUUAAUAUUCAAUAUUUAUCUCUUUGUUAUUACCAUACAUUGAGUAUUGACUUUGCUAUAACUAAAAAACAAAAAAAUCACAAAAUUUAACCUAUUUAUAUAGCACUGAAAGCACUUUGAGAUUAAAGAGCUCAGGACAGUUUCAGACUGUAUUUGUGCCAUUUGUAUGCCAGAGUUCUCUAGAGGAAACAGCUGGCAGAAUGUGUACACUAUUAUGAGACUUAUUAGAUCGGCUUAUAGCAUCAGAGGCUACACAGUCCCAUAAUGCCUUACAGUGGCUGCUUUUAGUUGUCACAUUAAUUGGAGUAAAAGACAUCUAAAACUGGUGAGACACAUCUGUGCACCUUUGGGGACAUUUUCAGAGAAGAUUGGCAGGUGAGACAGAGCCUGAGGAUGGGGACUACCCAUUCCCGAGGUGAGUGGCCCUUCCCCACAUGCAGCCAGUGUGCAAAACAAAUGUGAGAAAACAGCAAUGUGAAGGUGCCAGAGUGUGUCUAUGCUGCUGCCCAGAUCUUCUGCAGCCAUUAGAUGCCAGCCUCUUCUGCCACUCAACAACCUUCCAGGUUUUCAGUGCUGGACUGGGCAAUUUCUGGUUUCUCUGCUUCUCCAAAUGCAGACAAACAUUGUUGGAUUACUCUGGCCCUAUUAUGUAAGCCAAUCUAAAUUUAGUUUUAUAACACACACACACACACACACACACACACACACACACACACACACACACACAAACACACACACACACACUUCAUUUGUUCUUUUCCUCUACAGCAGGGCUUCUCCCUUGUCGUGAGAGUGAGUUCAGAGGCACAGUGGGCCUAGGGUUGCCAGAAGUUGGACACGAAACCUAUGUGACCUUUGAGAAAUCUGUUCUCAACCAGAAACUGAAGCUGACCUGAGAGUAAGGGCUCCAGAACAAAAAUUAGAUGAGGGUUAAAUUUACCCUGGCCAAAAUCUUCAAGGCCACCUGGGAGCUGCUGAUGCUGGACUGAAAGACCCAAGAUAUCUUUUUAAAGGCAAUGCUCUACUGAGGCAAUUUGUUCUCACUGGGGUGCUGGAUAAGGGCAAGAAGAAGCUAGAUUACAUCCUGGGCCUGAAGAAGAAGGGUUUCUUGGAAAGGUAACUGCAGACUCAGGUGGCUAAGAUGAGCCUGGUCAAAUCUAUUCACCAUGCCUGUGUGCUUAUCGGCCAGCAUCAUAUCAAUGUCCACAAGCAGGUGGUGAACAUAUCAUCCUUCACUGUGUGACUGGACUCCCAGAGGAACAUUGACUCUCCCUCUGCUCUCCUUAUGGUGGUGGCCACCCAGGCCACGUGAAGAGGAAGAGCCGACCAGAGCCAAGGUAGUGCUGGAGCCGGUGGUAAUGAGGAAGAAGGUUGAAUUUACACUUCCCUGGACUGGAGGAUAUUCUAGUUUUCCAGUUGACAAAUAAAACAUAAUUAACAAUAAAAAGAAACUGCAGGCAUAUAGAUAUAUAAAACAGGUAUAGAAAUCAAAUAUUUACUGAUAAAUUCAUUUUUAAAACAAUGACUUGGCAGCCUUACCACUUAUUAAAGAUAAAAGCAAAUUUUCAUGCCAGUGAGGUGGAUAAAUUUACUUUUGCAUAAAGAAUUAAAUCUCAGAUGAGUGUUUAUUGAUUGAAAUUCUAGGUUUAUAAUCAGCACUGCUGAGAAGACUGGUUCACACACACAUACAUACACACAUAUACAUAUAUACAUUACAAGAUGGCAAAAGUAUUUUUAGGGCCAUUUUAGAAAUUGUCCUAAUCCUACACCGUAACUUAUUUAAUGACUUUUUUUUACUGAGUUCAACUCAACAACUCAGGCAGCAAUUUUUUUAAAUUGGGCUUUCUAAUGCAAUGCAAAGAUGUAGAAGUUGAUAUUUAAAUGCUAAGAGGUGGUGGCAGAGAACUUCUAAGUCUUUGUUUUAUGUAAAUAAAUGAUUACAUUUCUGUAACAGCAGAGAACUUUGUAUGCACAAUAAAAACUCUGCCAUUCAGCACACAAAUGGGCUGGACUGUGAGCAGCAUUUAUUGCACUGUACAGCAUAAUGACAUAUGCAUGUAAUGUACACAUGUGGCAUGUUCACAACUAAGACUACAAAGAAGCCAGAUAACACAGACAAACACUAAAGACUCAUGUUUAAUUUUAAUUGAAUUUUUUGUUGUUAUACAGUAAGAAAACUUUUACCAUUGUCAAUGUUUUGUGACCCCCUCCUGAGUUAUGUGAGCCCAUAUGGAAUGUUAAACCACAGUUUAAGAAGCUAGGCUCUAGAGAACCCUGAAUACUCCAAUGGCCAUCUACAGGAAGCAAGAUGAAGCCAUAGCUAUUCAGCCCAAGAAGUUGGGAGCCUCGGAACAAAGGGACCAAUGAUGCAAACACAUCUGAGGCUGAAGGCCAAGAUCUCUAGAGACUUGCUGUUGUGAAUCCUCAUUCAAUGCCCAGGGAAGAUGGAGCAUGGUAUCUGUGAGUUAGAGAUGGGACAGAAAACACAUCUAUUUGAGAGGAGUCAAGCUUUUAAGUUUGUCUUGAUCUCCCCACUUCCUUUACUUUUGUUCUAUUUGUGCCUCCACCUUAUUAGAUACGGUCUUCCACAUUUCCCCCUUUGGUUACUGACACAUAAACUCAAAUUUCUGCAAACACUCUCACUGGCACACCCAGAAUUGUGCUUUACCAAUUCUCUAGGCAUCUCUCAGUGCAGUCAAGCUGACCCAUGGUCGGCCAUCUUGCUGUUUGUCUGACCUCCAGUAAACUCUUCUGUAGCUGAAGCAAAUGUGAAAGGUUUCAGACAGAACAGAAGAGCAGGUUUUCCUAUUUGUAGGGGAGAUUCAAGUUGCCUUUUUGUAUUCAGUCUACCUUCUUCACUAAUAAAAGUCUGGAAAACUUUUCAGCCCCAAUUAUACUCCUGUUACCCUGAAUCCUUCCCAAUUAAGAGCAAUUGUGAAAGGUAAGUAGAAUUCUUCGAGGUAGCUUCUUAAAGGAAAAUGAUCCCCUCCUGAUUCCCCUCAAGACGAUCCAAAUCUAUUUUCCACAUAUCAGACAGGUAGUUUUGUGCCCACCCUCAUUCAUGUCGAUGUCUGGGAUAAUUAACACUGAUAGCCAACUUGGUAGGAUCUAGAAUUCUAGGAGUCACACCUCAGGGCUUGUGUGUAAGGGAGUUUCUACAUCAGGUCAACUGAGUUCCAAAGACCCAACCUGAAUGUAGUGACACCAUUUCACGGGCUUGGGUCUAUGACUGAAAAACAAAGAGGAAGUGAGCUGAGCACCACAGCCUCCUCUUUCUGCUUCCUGGAUGCAGAUGCAGUGGGACCAGCUACCUCCAACCCCUACCAUCAUGGCAUCCCACAAUGAUGCUUAGUGUACUCAAACUAUAAGCCCUCCUCCCUAAAAUAAAUCCUUCUGUCCUUAAUUUGCUUGAGUAAGAUAUUUUGCAACUAAUACAAUACUAUAACAUCUGUAUCUCAAAAUGGG
ensembl:lncRNA